rnacentral:rRNA from 1 species
GACGAACGCUGGCGGCGUGCCUAAUACAUGCAAGUUGAGCGAUGAAGAUUGGUGUUUGCACCAAUUUUAAGAGCAGCGAACGGGUGAGUAACGCGUGGGGAAUCUGCCUUUCAGCGGGGGACAACAUUUGGAAACGAAUGCUAAUACCGCAUAACAACUUUAAACAUAAGUUUUAAGUUUGAAAGAUGCAAUUGCAUCACUCAAAGAUGAUCCCGCGUUGUAUUAGCUAGUUGGUGAGGUAAAGGCUCACCAAGGCGAUGAUACAUAGCCGACCUGAGAGGGUGAUCGGCCACAUUGGGACUGAGACACGGCCCAAAACCCUACGGGAGGCAGCAGUAGGGAAUCUUCGGCAAUGGACGAAAGUCUGACCGAGCAACGCCGCGUGAGUGAAGAAGGUUUUCCGAUCGUAAAACUCUGUUGGUAGAGAAGAACGUUGGUGAGAGUGGAAAGCUCAUCAAGUGACAGUAACUACCCAGAAAGCGACGGCUAACUACGUG